rnacentral:rRNA from 1 species
UUUAUGGAGAGUUUGAUCCUGGCUCAGAGUGAACGCUGGCGGCGUGCCUAAUACAUGCAAGUCGAACGAUGAAGCUUCUAGCUUGCUAGAAUGCUGAUUAGUGGCGCACGGGUGAGUAACGCAUAGGUCAUGUGCCUCUUAGUUUGGGAUAGCCAUUGGAAACGAUGAUUAAUACCAGAUACUCCCUACGGGGGAAAGAUUUAUCGCUAAGAGAUCAGCCUAUGUCCUAUCAGCUUGUUGGUAAGGUAAUGGCUUACCAAGGCUAUGACGGGUAUCCGGCCUGAGAGGGUGAACGGACACACUGGAACUGAGACACGGUCCAGACUCCUACGGGAGGCAGCAGUAGGGAAUAUUGCUCAAUGGGGGAAACCCUGAAGCAGCAACGCCGCGUGGAGGAUGAAGGUUUUAGGAUUGUAAACUCCUUUUGUUAGAGAAGAUAAUGACGGUAUCUAACGAAUAAGCACCGGCUAACUCCGUGCCAGCAGCCGCGGUAAUACGGAGGGUGCAAGCGUUACUCGGAAUCACUGGGCGUAAAGAGCGCGUAGGCGGGAUAGUCAGUCAGGUGUGAAAUCCUAUGGCUUAACCAUAGAACUGCAUUUGAAACUACUAUUCUAGAGUGUGGGAGAGGUAGGUGGAAUUCUUGGUGUAGGGGUAAAAUCCGUAGAGAUCAAGAGGAAUACUCAUUGCGAAGGCGACCUGCUGGAACAUUACUGACGCUGAUUGUGCGAAAGCGUGGGGAGCAAACAGGAUUAGAUACCCUGGUAGUCCACGCCCUAAACGAUGGAUGCUAGUUGUUGGAGGGCUUAGUCUCUCCAGUAAUGCAGCUAACGCAUUAAGCAUCCCGCCUGGGGAGUACGGUCGCAAGAUUAAAACUCAAAGGAAUAGACGGGGACCCGCACAAGCGGUGGAGCAUGUGGUUUAAUUCGAAGAUACACGAAGAACCUUACCUAGGCUUGACAUUGAGAGAAUCCGCUAGAAAUAGUGGAGUGUCUGGCUUGCUAGACCUUGAAAACAGGUGCUGCACGGCUGUCGUCAGCUCGUGUCGUGAGAUGUUGGGUUAAGUCCCGCAACGAGCGCAACCCCCUUUCUUAGUUGCUAACAGGUCAUGCUGAGAACUCUAAGGAUACUGCCUCCGUAAGGAGGAGGAAGGUGGGGACGACGUCAAGUCAUCAUGGCCCUUACGCCUAGGGCUACACACGUGCUACAAUGGGGUGCACAAAGAGAAGCAAUACUGCGAAGUGGAGCCAAUCUUCAAAACACCUCUCAGUUCGGAUUGUAGGCUGCAACUCGCCUGCAUGAAGCUGGAAUCGCUAGUAAUCGCAAAUCAGCCAUGUUGCGGUGAAUACGUUCCCGGGUCUUGUACUCACCGCCCGUCACACCAUGGGAGUUGUGUUUGCCUUAAGUCAGGAUGCUAAAUUGGCUACUGCCCACGGCACACACAGCGACUGGGGUGAAGUCGUAACAAGGUAACCGUAGGUGAACCUGCGGUUGGAUCACCUCCUUUCUAGA